rnacentral:rRNA from 1 species
AGAGUUUGAUCAUGGCUCAGAUUGAACGCUGGCGGUAUGCCUAACACAUGCAAGUCGAACGAGGUAGCAAUACCUAGUGGCGGACGGGUGAGUAACGCGUGGGAAUCUGCCCAUAGGUGGGGGAUAACUAGCCGAAAGGUUAGCUAAUACCGCAUAUGCCGAAAGGUAAAAGGAGUAAUCCGCCUUUGGAUGAGCCCGCGUCCGAUUAGCUAGUUGGUAGAGUAAAAGCCUACCAAGGCGACGAUCGGUAGCUGGUCUGAGAGGAUGAUCAGCCACAAUGGGACUGAGACACGGCCCAUACUCCUACGGGAGGCAGCAGUGGGGAAUUUUACGCAAUGGGGAAACCCUGACGUAGCGACACCGCGUGAAUGAAGAAGCCCUUUGGGGUGUGUAAUUCUGUCGGCUGGGAAGAAAAAAAUGACGGUACCAGCAAAGGAAGCAUCGGCUAACUACGUG